AUGACUCAGACCCCAGCAUCCCUGGCCGUCACCCCUGGACAGCCGGCCUCCAUCUCCUGCAGGGCCAGUCAGAGCCUCCUGUUCAGUGAUGGAAACACCUAUUUAAAUUGGUACCUGCAUAAACCAGGCCUGUCUCCACGGCGCCUGAUCGAAAAGGUUUCCAUCCGGGCCCCCGGAGUCCCAGACAGGUUCAGUGGCAGCGGGUCAGGAACAGAUUUCACUCUGACAAUCAGCAGGGUGGAGGCUGAAGACAUUGGAGUUUACUACUACUGCUGGCAAGGGACCGAGGAGCUCCUGCGGCUCAUCGCUGGGGCUUCAGCCCAGGCCGCUGGAACUCUCUCUCCAAGGUUCCUGGGAACUGGCUCUGGCUGUACUCCUCCCUCACCACCAGUGGACUAG